GCCUACGGCCAUGCCGCCCUGAACGUCCCUGAUCCUGUCUGAUCUCGGAAGCUAAGCAGGGUCGGGCCUGGGUAAUAGUUGGAUGGGAGACCACCUAGGAAGACCAGGUGCUGUCGGUG
ensembl:rRNA 5S_rRNA 5S ribosomal RNA